UACGUAGGGUGCGAGCGUUGUCCGGAAUUACUGGGCGUAAAGAGCUCGUAGGUGGUUUGUCGCGUUGUUCGUGAAAACUCACAGCUCAACUGUGGGCGUGCGGGCGAUACGGGCAGACUGGAGUACUGCAGGGGAGACUGGAAUUCCUGGUGUAGCGGUGAAAUGCGCAGAUAUCAGGAGGAACACCGAUUGCGAAGGCAGCUCGCUGGGACGUCACUGACGCUGAGACGCGAAAGCGUGGGGAGCAAACAGG
rnacentral:rRNA from 1 species